GACGAACGCUGGCGGCGUGCUUAACACAUGCAAGUCGAACGGAAAGGCCCUGCUUUUGUGGGGUGCUCGAGUGGCGAACGGGUGAGUAACACGUGAGUAACCUGCCCUUGACUUUGGGAUAACUUCAGGAAACUGGGGCUAAUACCGGAUAGGAGCUCCUGCUGCAUGGUGGGGGUUGGAAAUUUUCGGCGGUUGGGGAUGGAUUCGCGGCUAAUCGGCUUGUUGGUGGGGUAGUGGCUUACCAAGGCUUUGACGGGUAGCCGGCCUGAGAGGGUGACCGGCCACAUUGGGACUGAGAUACGGCCCAGACUCCUACGGGAGGCAGCAGUGGGGAAUAUUGCACAAUGGGCGGAAGCCUGAUGCAGCAACGCCGCGUGCGGGAUGACGGCCUUCGGGGUGUAAACCGCUUUCGCCUGUGACGAAGCGUGAGUGACGGUAAUGGGUAAAGAAGCACCGGCUAACUACGUG
rnacentral:rRNA from 1 species